AUUAGAUACCCUGGUAGUCCACGCAGUAAACGAUGAAUGCUAAUUGUCCGUUGCGAGUGAGCGAUGGGUGAUACAGCGAAAGCGUUAAGCAUUCCACCUGGGGAGUACGCCGGCAACGGUGAAACUCAAAGGAAUUGACGGGGGCCCGCACAAGCGGAGGAACAUGUGGUUUAAUUCGAUGAUACGCGAGGAACCUUACCCGGGCUCAAACGCCGUCUGACGUAGGCUGAAAGGCUUAUUUCUUCGGACAGACGGCGAGGUGCUGCAUGGUUGUCGUCAGCUCGUGCCGUGAGGUGUCGGCUUAAGUGCCAUAACGAGCGCAACCCCUGUCGACAGUUGCUAACAGGUUAAGCUGAGGACUCUGUCGAGACUGCCGGCGCAAGCUGAGAGGAAGGCGGGGAUGACGUCAAAUCAGCACGGCCCUUACGUCCGGGGCGACACACGUGUUACAAUGGCAGGCACAGCGGGAAGCCACCCGGCGACGGGGAGCGGAACCCGAAAGCCUGUCUCAGUUCGGAUCGGAGUCUGCAACUCGACUCCGUGAAGCUGGAUUCGCUAGUAAUCGCGCAUCAGCCAUGGCGCGGUGAAUACGUUCCCGGGCCUUGUACACACCGCCCGUCAAGCCAUGGGAGCCGAGGGCGCUUGAAGUGCGUCGCCGCGAGGCGCGCCCUAGAGCGAAAUCGGUGACUGGGGGCUAAGUCGUAACAAGGUACC
rnacentral:rRNA from 1 species